GCUGUACGACAGGAAGGGCACGCGUCAGCACCCCCCGGGGACCGCGUGAGGACAACCAAUCAGCACGCACUCACCAGGCACUCGGAGGACACACAGACAGACACCGUCCACACACACACACAUACGGCCUGCACUAUCCUCGUCAUCGAUGAUGGAUGACGUAUGAUCCUUCUGGGAUCAUAGUCCAUAACACGCUAAAGCCUGAUUAAAAAGUGCUUAAUAAGGGGAACGAUAUCUGCUGCAGGAGGAUAUGAUUCAGACGAGUAACAACAGUUUCAAUGAAGGACUGAACGUCUGGGUGAUCCGCUAAUGGUACCUCCUCUAGUGUCUACAGGCUGACCGCUGGUCUGUGGACUGUGCUGUGGACUGUGCUGUGGACUGGUCUGUGGAGGUCCUGCUGGUCAUCAAGAGGUGAGAGGAGACGCUGUGAUCGCCGUCUUCAUCUGAGACACAAGCUCUUCGCCGGACCCAGAAGGUGGAGUCAGCUGUUCUUGGUUCUUGAUAAUUAUAGGGUGAAAUUAAGUAGAAACAGGAGAUGGGGCGUCAGGGAGCGCAGGCAGCGGACAAGGAGGGCGAUUUUUCUUCUCCAACAUGUAGGACAGGGUCUGGACGCCAUGGGUCCAGGAAGUAGAUAAGUCUUCCGUGUCGUCACUUCCUGCUUGGGUUCCAUCAGAGUCAAGCGGUGGAAUCACAAGAAGGAAGUUCAGAAUGCGGAACGAAGAAAGGCCUCGAGCACUCCCGUUUCCGGAAACCUUGAAGCCCCCGGAAAGCUUGAUCCAUCCAUGUCUUAAUAAUAAUCCUAUCAAUAUCUUCAUCAGCCCUGGAUCAAUAUCUUCAUCAGCCCUGGAUCAAUAACUUAAUCAGCCCUGGAUCCACAGAGCUCAGCCCUUUGGGACAACCGCCCUGGCAGCAGAACCUCCUCAUAUCCUGAUGCAGCAGCUAUCUGUGAACUAUGUGGGGGGUUAUGAACAAGCAAACAAUGCAGUGAUGUCAACAUAAUCUUUGGGUUUAUAUUAGUGAUGGAAACAAUGUCAUUGGUUGAAGAUACCCAAAUAUUAACUAAUUAUAUACUUAAGGGAAUAGACUUAGGCAGAGGGGAGGCAGUUGUUUCUUAUAAAGGGCAACAAGCUUCUAAAGAUGUCUAUCACGGCUCCAUGAAUGGUAUUCAGCCCAAUGAUUUAGGAGGCCAACGGUAAAUACAUCAAACUGCCAAGUUUAAUCCACUGCUGACACUUGUUUGUAGGCUAAAGGUCACAAGACACCGGUGAACAGCGCUCUGAGAACACAGCGGGGCUUUGUGUAAAUAAUGAGGUGGAGCCACGCCUACAGGGGGGGGCUGGUCAUCAGGGAGGAGCUAAUGCACUGUUCUAAAGUCUCCUCUAAGAACACCAUAUGGCCUUACUACAUAUUUACCAUAAUGUUAUCAUAAUAAUAAUGAUAAAUAUAAUAAAAAGGAAGAGUCUAAUAGGAAGUAUGUUGAACCAAGUGACAUUGCCUCCCAAACACCGAACUAGAUUUGGUCUCACUACAAGUCCAUUGUUUGCUUAUUUAUAGAUAAAACUAAAUCAAAUGAUUAACUGUUCCUUCUUUCCUGCUAAGCAGGUGUGUAAAUAAAGUUGAGGAAAUGGUGCACAUGAAAAACAUUCUCGGUAGAAUUUGAAAUAAAAAUUAAAACACAUCAAUCUGAAUAGAGUCCCAUCAAAUGAACGCUUCCAAAGCCCCCAGGUGGUCUGCCCUCGUGUGGUUGGUGGAUGGUCUCACUAACGGCUGGAUGGUCUCACUAACGGGUGGAUGGUCUCACUAAAGGGUGGAUGGUCUCACUAAAGGGUGGAUGGUCUCACUAACGGCUGGAUGGUCUCACUAACGGGUGGAUGAUCUCACUAACGGGUGGAUGGUCU